UGUAGACUGUACUUCGGAUUUCCACAUUUACACAUGUGAUUGUUGGUACCAAUGUUUUAAACCGUCUUCACUUGUCAAAACGUCUAGAAGAACACAAUUAGGAAGAACAAACAUAGUGUCUUUUAACGUGAUAUGAUUAGUUUGUUGCAAGUUUUCAUAUUCUUUCCAAGCAAUAAUAGUCUACUGUAUUUUCCAAUUGGUAAACAAGACAGUAUCAUUAAUUGUUUUUUGUCCAAUAUGCAGAUGUUUCGUAUUUAUUUAGCAUGUACAGGUGGUGUCCAUUGUUGGCCAUCAUAUUGUCCAAUAACUUGUUAGGUUACUGUACAUAUAAAGGUAUGUAAUAUCUCGACAUAGUAGACAUACAAUGUUCCUGACAUCCAUAUGGUAGAUUGGAAACAAGUACAGUAAUUUAAUAAUAAUACAUGGCAGAUUCCAUAUCCCAUUGCAUUAGAUGUAUUGUAAUAUAUCCAAUCUUGUAAAUCAGCAUUCUUGUUUUAAUAGAAAUACAUUUCUGUUAAUCCAGAAGCUCCUAUCCAUUUUCAUGAGAUGAACAGUAAUAUAUAUCCAUAUUACAUUUUGACUAUAACAACCAUUUGGUCGGUUUCAUCCAGCAGUUAACAUGGCACCAUUCACAUCUGUCAGAAUUGCAAAACUAUAGAAAAAAAUAAUUGGUAGGAUGAGAUAUUUAUGUGGAAACAUAGUGGCACAUUACUGAGUGAAAAUAAAAGUAGGCAG